rnacentral:rRNA from 1 species
AGGGCGUACGGUGAAUGCCUUGGUGCCAACAGGCGAAGAAGGACGCGGCAAGCUGCGAAAAGCCUCGGGAAGCUGCAAGCAAGCGAUGAUCCGGGGAUAUCCGAAUGGGGUAACCUGAUCGAGGCAAUACUCGAUCGUUCAUACCUGAAUACAUAGGGUAUGAAACGCGAAACCCGCUGAAGUGAAACAUCUCAGUAAGCGGAGGAAAAGAAAGAGAAAUCGAUUCCGUAAGUAGUGGCGAGCGAAAGCGGAUGGAGCCCAAACCGAAGGUAUUCCUUCGGGGUUGUAGGACCACGUCAUAUUCGACCAUACUGGAUAGUAGAACAGCCUGGAAAGGCUGGCCGGAGAAGGUGAAAGCCCUGUAGACGAAAUCCAGAGUGGGAAUUAGUGGUAUCCUGAGUAAUACAUCACACGUGGAACGAUGUAUGAACCCGCGCGGACCACCGCGCAAGGCUAAAUACUAGUUGGCGACCGAUAGUGAACAAGUACCGCGAGGGAAAGGUGAAAAGAACCGCUGUGAGCGGAGUGAAAUAGAACCUGAAACCGUAUGUCUACAAAGUGUCAGAGCAGAGCAAUCUGCGAUGGCGUGCCUUUUGUUUAAUGAGUCUGCGAGUCAGUGUUUGUGGCAAGACUAAGGGCUUCCGGCCCGGAGUCGCAGCGAAAGCAAGUCCGAACAGGGCGCAAUAAGUCGCAGGUACUGGACCCGAAGCGGAGGUGACCUACCCUUGGCCAGGUUGAAGCAUGGGUAAAACCAUGUGGAGGACCGAACAGGUGAACGUUGAAAAGUUCUCUGAUGAGCUGAGGGUAGGAGUGAAAGGCUAAUCAAACCCCGUGAUAGCUGGUUCUCUUCGAAAUGCAUUUAGGUGCAGCGUCACGUGCUGAUGCGCGGGGGUAGAGCACUGACAAGGCUAGGGGGCACACCCGCUUACCAAACCUUAUCAAACUCCGAAUACCGUGCAAUGGAACGUGGCAGUGAGACAGUGGGGGAUAAGCUUCAUUGUCGAGAGGGAAACAACCCAGACCAGCAGCUAAGGUGCCUAAAUAACGCUCAGUGGAAAGGAUGUGGGAUUACACAGACAGUGAGGAUGUUGGCUUAGAAGCAGCCACCAUUUAAAAAAUGCGUAAUAGCUUACUCAUCGAGUGAUCCUGCGCCGAAAAUGAUUGGCGAUCAAGCGUUAUACCGAAGCUCUGGACUUUGCCGCAAGGCAGAGUGGUAGAAGAGCGUUGCAUGCGCGUCGAAGGGCGAUGGCGACUGACCCUGGAGCACAUGCAAGUGAGUAUGCAGACAUGAGUAACGUUAAGCCGGGUGAAACCCCCGGCCGCCGUAAACCCGAGGUUUCCAGGGCAACGUGUUUCGUCCCUGGGUUAGCCGGGACCUAAGCCGAGGCCGAGAGGCGUAGGCGAUGGACAUCAGGUUAAUAAUCCUGAGCUCGCAACCCUUAAACUGGGGGGACGCAUGAGAAAAGAUGACUAGGUUAUUGAAUUCCGAGUUGAGUCUACGGACUCAGCGCAUCAUUGGAUCGAGUGCCAAGAAAAGCCCCAGCGUAUGCUAAGCGACCCGUACCGCAAACCGACACAGGUGGGUGGGUAGAAUAUACCAAGGCGUAAGAGUGAAACCUGGUUAAGGAACUCGGCAAAUUAGCCCCGUAACUUCGGAAGAAGGGGUGCCUGCAGCGAUGCAGGCCGCAGAGAAAUGGCCCAACCGACUGUUUAUCAAAAACACAGCACUCUGCAAAGACGCAAGUCGAAGUAUAGGGUGUGACACGUGACCAAUGCCGAAAGAUUAAGGCAAGGGGUUAGCCGCAAGGCGAAGCUCUAAACCCAAGUCCCGGUGAAUGUCGGCCGUAACUAUAACGGUCCUAAGGUAGCGAAAUUCCUUGUCGGGUAAGUUCCGACCUGCACGAAUCGUGAAACGAGUUGGGCACUGUCUCAACCAGGCGCUCAGUGAAAUUGUAGUGGCGGUGAAGAUGCCGCCUACCCGCAGAAGGACGGAAAGACCCUAUAGACCUUAACUGUAAGCUGUCAUUGUUUCUUCGGUUUUAAUGCUCAGAGUAAGUGGGAGACGCUGAAGACGCCCUUUAGGGGGCGUCCGAGUCAUCAAUGAGACACCACCCUUUGAAACUGGAGGAUCUAACCCUGAGCCGUGAAUCCGGCCAGAGGACCGUGUCAGCCGGUCAGUUUUACUGGGGCGGUAUCCUCCCAAAGAGUAACGGAGGAGCGCGAAGGUGGGCUCAGCCCGGUUGGCAACCGGGUGUCGAGUGCAUGGGCAUAAGCCCGCCUAACUGUGAGACCAACAAGUCGAGCAGAUGCGAAAGCAGGCCCAAGUGAUCCGGCGGUAGAAAGUGGAAUUGCCGUCGCUCAACGGAUAAAAGGUACCUUAGGGAUAACAGGCUGAUCACGCCCAAGAGUUCAUAUCGACGGCGUGGUUUGGCACCUCGAUGUCGGCUCGUCGCAUCCUGGGGCUGGAGAAGGUCCCAAGGGUCCGGCUGUUCGCCGGUUAAAGCGGCACGCGAGCUGGGUUCAGAACGUCGCGAGACAGUUCGGUCCUCUAUCCUCUGUGGGCGUUGGAAAAUUGAGGGGUUCAGACCUUAGUACGAGAGGACCGGGUCUGACGCACCACUGGUGCAUCGGUUGUACUGUCAAGUGCAUGGCCGAGUAGCUAAGUGCGGACGGGAUAAGCGCUGAAAGCAUCUAAGCGCCAAGCCCUUCCCAAGAUGAGUUUUCCCUACAGGUUCGUGGAAGACCACCACGUUGAUAGGUCGCAGGUGUAAGUGCAGCAAUGUAUUGAGCCGAGCGAUACUAAUUACCAAUUGACUUCAUC